rnacentral:rRNA from 1 species
CGGACGGGUGAGUAAUGUCUGGGGAUCUGCCCGAUAGAGGGGGAUAACCACUGGAAACGGUGGCUAAUACCGCAUAACGUCGCAAGACCAAAGAGGGGGACCUUCGGGCCUCUCACUAUCGGAUGAACCCAGAUGGGAUUAGCUAGUAGGCGGGGUAAUGGCCCACCUAGGCGACGAUCCCUAGCUGGUCUGAGAGGAUGACCAGCCACACUGGAACUGAGACACGGUCCAGACUCCUACGGGAGGCAGCAGUGGGGAAUAUUGCACAAUGGGCGCAAGCCUGAUGCAGCCAUGCCGCGUGUAUGAAGAAGGCCUUCGGGUUGUAAAGUACUUUCAGCGGGGAGGAAGGCGAUGUGGUUAAUAACCGCAUCGAUUGACGUUACCCGCAGAAGAAGCACCGGCUAACUCCGUGCCAGCAGCCGCGGUAAUACGGAGGGUGCAAGCGUUAAUCGGAAUUACUGGGCGUAAAGCGCACGCAGGCGGUCUGUUAAGUCAGAUGU